rnacentral:lncRNA from 1 species
GGGUAUCUUGCUCCUUCUCUCUCAACCGGCGAUUCUCCAUCAGGGCUUGCUUGUAGUGCUCAGCAGGCACACUCUCAGCAAGGAUCAAAGGUGGUUGCUCCUGCAACGGCUCCAUCCUAUCGUAGGGUAACAACAAAGUUUCCACUCUCUCCUUGACCCAAUCAGUGUAAUCAGGCAUAGCAAUGGCAAACUUCUUCCCUAAGACAGAUCCAUCCUUCACACCAAUAGACUUCCAAGCUCUUCCUAUCUGCUCCAAUCUAUCCGGGUCACUCUGCUUCUCAAAAUACACACUUUCAGCUACCUCAGCCUCAAGUGGUCUUCCCUUCAUC